UCCAGAGAUGGAUUGGUGCCUUCGGGAACUGUGAGACAGGUGCUGCAUGGCUGUCGUCAGCUCGUGUUGUGAAAUGUUGGGUUAAGUCCCGCAACGAGCGCAACCCUUAUCCUUUGUUGCCAGCGGUUCGGCCGGGAACUCAAAGGAGACUGCCAGUGAUAAACUGGAGGAAGGUGGGGAUGACGUCAAGUCAUCAUGGCCCUUACGACCAGGGCUACACACGUGCUACAAUGGCAUAUACAAAGAGAAGCGACCU
rnacentral:rRNA from 1 species